AGGGGUUGGAAGGGACCUCCAGAGAUCACCUAGUCCAACCCCCCUGCAGAAGCAGGUUCACCUAGAUCAGGUCACACAGGAACAUGUCCAGGCGGGUCUUGCAGACCUCCAAGGAAGGAGACUCCACAACCCCUCUGGGCGGCCUGUUACAAAUUACAAGAGCUGAAGAGUAUUUCAGAGUCAGGAAUCAGAGAAGAAAAGGUGGCAGCCUCAGUAGGACCAGCUCCAGCACCAGAGCCCUCUUACACUUCUAACUGGAAUCAAAAGGAGAACUGAGAGUUGAAUUUUGAAGGAUCAACAUCUUAGGAGGACACAACUGUUGCAUUGUUCUCAGGUAGAUGUGACAUUGUAAUGCUUAAUGUUUAUUGUUACAAUGAAAGCCUGGAGAAUUCUUU